rnacentral:rRNA from 1 species
AUCUUCCACAAUGGGCGAAAGCCUGAUGGAGCAACGCCGCGUGAGUGAGGAAGGCUUUCGGGUCGUAAAGCUCUGUUGCCAGGGAAGAAUAAGGACGUGUUAACUGCACGUCUGAUGACGGUACCUGAGAAGAAAGCCCCGGCUAACUACGUGCCAGCAGCCGCGGUAAUACGUAGGGGGCAAGCGUUGUCCGGAAUUAUUGGGCGUAAAGCGCGCGCAGGCGGUUCUUUAAGUCUGGUGUCUAAGUGCGGGGCUCAACCCCGUGAUGCACUGGAAACUGGAGAACUUGAGUGCAGAAGAGGAGAGCGGAAUUCCACGUGUAGCGGUGAAAUGCGUAGAGAUGUGGAGGAACACCAGUGGCGAAGGCGGCUCUCUGGACUGUAACUGACGCUGAGGCGCGAAAGCGUGGGGAGCGAACA